rnacentral:rRNA from 1 species
UACGUAAGGGGCUAGCGUUGUCCGGAAUCAUUGGGCGUAAAGAGCGUGUAGGCGGUCCGAUAAGUCCGCUGUGAAAGUCGGGGGCUCAACCCUCAAAUGCCGAUGGAUACUGUCGGGCUAGAAUGCGGAAGAAACGAGUGGAAUUCCUGGUGUAGCGGUGAAAUGCGCAGAUAUCAGAAAGAACACCUAUUGCGAAGACAGCUCGCUGGGACAUAACUGACGCUGAGACGCGAAAGCGUGGAGAGCAAACAGG